rnacentral:rRNA from 1 species
GAUGAACGCUAGCUACAGGCUUAACACAUGCAAGUCGAGGGGUAACGAGAGGGAAGCUUGCUUUCCUUGUCGACGACCGGCGCACGGGUGAGUAACGCGUAUCCAACCUGCCCCCAACUAGGGAAUAACCUUGCGAAAGUAAGACUAAUACCCUAUAAUUUCCUCAGAUGUCAUCUGACGAGGAAUAAAGAUUUAUCGGUUGUGGAUGGGGAUGCGUCUGAUUAGCUUGUUGGCGGGGUAACGGCCCACCAAGGCAACGAUCAGUAGGGGUUCUCAGAGGAAGUGCCCCCACAUUGGAACGGGGACACGGACCAAACUCCUACGGGAGGCAGCAGUGAGGAGUAUGGGUCAAGGGGCGGAAGCCUGAAUCAGCCAAGUAGCGGGCAGGAUGACGGCCCUAUGGGUUGUAAACUGCCUUUAUACAGGAAUAAAGUUAGCCACGUGUGGUUAUUUGUAGGUACUGUAUGAAUAAGGGCCGGCUAAUUCCGUGCCAGCAGCCGCCGUAA